rnacentral:rRNA from 1 species
AAUUGAAGAGUUUGAUCAUGGCUCAGAUUGAACGCUGGCGGCAGGCCUAACACAUGCAAGUCGAACGGUAACAGGAAGAAGCUUGCUUCUUUGCUGACGAGUGGCGGACGGGUGAGUAAUGUCUGGGAAACUGCCUGAUGGAGGGGGAUAACUACUGGAAACGGUAGCUAAUACCGCAUAACGUCGCAAGACCAAAGAGGGGGACCUUCGGGCCUCUUGCCAUCGGAUGUGCCAGAUGGGAUUAGCUUGUUGGUGGGGUAACGGCUCACCAAGGCGACGAUCCCUAGCUGGUCUGAGAGGAUGACCAGCCACACUGGAACUGAGACACGGUCCAGACUCCUACGGGAGGCAGCAGUGGGGAAUAUUGCACAAUGGGCGCAAGCCUGAUGCAGCCAUGCCGCGUGUAUGAAGAAGGCCUUCGGGUUGUAAAGUACUUUCAGCGGGGAGGAAGGGAGUAAAGUUAAUACCUUUGCUCAUUGACGUUACCCGCAGAAGAAGCACCGGCUAACUCCGUGCCAGCAGCCGCGGUAAUACGGAGGGUGCAAGCGUUAAUCGGAAUUACUGGGCGUAAAGCGCACGCAGGCGGUUUGUUAAGUCAGAUGUGAAAUCCCCGGGCUCAACCUGGGAACUGCAUCUGAUACUGGCAAGCUUGAGUCUCGUAGAGGGGGGUAGAAUUCCAGGUGUAGCGGUGAAAUGCGUAGAGAUCUGGAGGAAUACCGGUGGCGAAGGCGGCCCCCUGGACGAAGACUGACGCUCAGGUGCGAAAGCGUGGGGAGCAAACAGGAUUAGAUACCCUGGUAGUCCACGCCGUAAACGAUGUCGACUUGGAGGUUGUGCCCUUGAGGCGUGGCUUCCGGAGCUAACGCGUUAAGUCGACCGCCUGGGGAGUACGGCCGCAAGGUUAAAACUCAAAUGAAUUGACGGGGGCCCGCACAAGCGGUGGAGCAUGUGGUUUAAUUCGAUGCAACGCGAAGAACCUUACCUGGUCUUGACAUCCACAGAACCCUGUAGAGAUACGGGGGUGCCUUCGGGAACUGUGAGACAGGUGCUGCAUGGCUGUCGUCAGCUCGUGUUGUGAAAUGUUGGGUUAAGUCCCGCAACGAGCGCAACCCUUAUCCUUUGUUGCCAGCGGUCCGGCCGGGAACUCAAAGGAGACUGCCAGUGAUAAACUGGAGGAAGGUGGGGAUGACGUCAAGUCAUCAUGGCCCUUACGACCAGGGCUACACACGUGCUACAAUGGCGCAUACAAAGAGAAGCGACCUCGCGAGAGCAAGCGGACCUCAUAAAGUGCGUCGUAGUCCGGAUUGGAGUCUGCAACUCGACUCCAUGAAGUCGGAAUCGCUAGUAAUCGUGGAUCAGAAUGCCACGGUGAAUACGUUCCCGGGCCUUGUACACACCGCCCGUCACACCAUGGGAGUGGGUUGCAAAAGAAGUAGGUAGCUUAACCUUCGGGAGGGCGCUUACCACUUUGUGAUUCAUGACUGGGGUGAAGUCGUAACAAGGUAACCGUAGGGGAACCUGCGGUUGGAUCACCUCCUUA